GACGAACGCUGGCGGCGUGCCUAAUACAUGCAAGUCGAACGCUGAAGGAGGAGCUUGCUUCUCUGGAUGAGUUGCGAACGGGUGAGUAACGCGUAGGUAACCUGCCUGGUAGCGGGGGAUAACUAUUGGAAACGAUAGCUAAUACCGCAUAAGAGUAGAUGUUGCAUGACAUUUGCUUAAAAGGUGCAAUUGCAUCACUACCAGAUGGAGCUGCGUUGUAUUAGCUAGUUGGUGGGGUAACGGCUCACCAAGGCGACGAUACAUAGCCGACCUGAGAGGGUGAUCGGCCACACUGGGACUGAGACACGGCCCAGACUCCUACGGGAGGCAGCAGGAGGGAAUCUUCGGCAAUGGACGGAAGUCUGACCGAGCAACGCCGCGUGAGUGAAGAAGGGUGUCGGAUCGGAAAGCUCUGUUGUAAGAGAAGAACGAGUGUGAGAGUGGAAAGUUCACACUGUGACGGUAGCUUACCAGAAAGGGACGGCUAACUACGUG
rnacentral:rRNA from 1 species